rnacentral:rRNA from 1 species
ACAUCUAAGUACCCCGAGGAAAAGAAAUCAACCGAGAUUCCCCCAGUAGCGGCGAGCGAACGGGGAGCAGCCCAGAGCCUGAAUCAGUGUGUGUGUUAGUGGAAGCGUCUGGAAAGGCGCGCGAUACAGGGUGACAGCCCCGUACACAAAAAUGCACAUGCUGUGAGCUCGAUGAGUAGGGCGGGACACGUGGUAUCCUGUCUGAAUAUGGGGGGACCAUCCUCCAAGGCUAAAUACUCCUGACUGACCGAUAGUGAACCAGUACCGUGAGGGAAAGGCGAAAAGAACCCCGGCGAGGGGAGUGAAAAAGAACCUGAAACCGUGUACGUACAAGCAGUGGGAGCACGCUUAGGCGUGUGACUGCGUACCUUUUGUAUAAUGGGUCAGCGACUUAUAUUCUGUAGCAAGGUUAACCGAAUAGGGGAGCCGAAGGGAAACCGAGUCUUAACUGGGCGUUAAGUUGCAGGGUAUAGACCCGAAACCCGGUGAUCUAGCCAUGGGCAGGUUGAAGGUUGGGUAACACUAACUGGAGGACCGAACCGACUAAUGUUGAAAAAUUAGCGGAUGACUUGUGGCUGGGGGUGAAAGGCCAAUCAAACCGGGAGAUAGCUGGUUCUCCCCGAAAGCUAUUUAGGUAGCGCCUCGUGAAUUCAUCUCCGGGGGUAGAGCACUGUUUCGGCAAGGGGGUCAUCCCGACUUACCAACCCGAUGCAAACUGCGAAUACCGGAGAAUGUUAUCACGGGAGACACACGGCGGGUGCUAACGUCCGUCGUGAAGAGGGAAACAACCCAGACCGCCAGCUAAGGUCCCAAAGUCAUGGUUAAGUGGGAAACGAUGUGGGAAGGCCCAGACAGCCAGGAUGUUGGCUUAGAAGCAGCCAUCAUUUAAAGAAAGCGUAAUAGCUCACUGGUCGAGUCGGCCUGCGCGGAAGAUGUAACGGGGCUAAACCAUG